CGGCGUCACGAGUGGCAAUCGCGUUUAUUGGGUCUAAAGCGUUCGUAGCUGGUUUAGUAAAUCUUUUGUGAAACUGUUGGGCUUAACUUAACAACGUGCAGAAGACACUACUAAACUUGAGAUCGGGAGGGGUUAGAAGUAUUUCAGGGGGAGCGGUAAAAUGUUAUAAUCCCUGAAAGACUACCUAUGGCGAAGGCAUCUAACCAGAACGAAUCUGACAGUGAGGAACGAAGGCCAGGGGAGCGAACCGGAUUAGAUACCCGAGUAGUCC
rnacentral:rRNA from 1 species